rnacentral:rRNA from 1 species
UACGUAGGGUCCGAGCGUUGUCCGGAAUUAUUGGGCGUAAAGGGCUCGUAGGCGGUUUGGCGCGUCGGGAGUGAAAACACCGGGCUUAACUCGGUGCUUGCUUUCGAUACGGGCAGACUGGAGGUAUGCAGGGGAGAACGGAAUUCCUGGUGUAGCGGUGAAAUGCGCAGAUAUCAGGAGGAACACCGGUGGCGAAGGCGGUUCUCUGGGCAUUACCUGACGCUGAGGAGCGAAAGUGUGGGGAGCGAACAGG